GAGUGGCGCACGGGUGAGUAACACGUAGGUAAUCUACCUUUGGAUGGGGAAUAACAACCGGAAACGGUUGCUAAUACCGCAUAAUGCACUAAUGGUGACAGUUGUUAAAGCGGGGGAUCGAAAGACCUCGCGUCUGAAGAGGAGCCUGCGGCGGAUUAGCUAGUUGGUAAGGUAAUGGCUUACCAAGGCGAUGAUCCGUAACCGGCCUGAGAGGGCGGUCGGUCACACUGACACUGACAUACGGGUCAGACUCCUACGGGAGGCAGCAGUCGGGAAUUUUGGGCAAUGGGCGAAAGCCUGACCCAGCAACGCCGCGUGAAGGAUGAAAUCCCUCGGGAUGUAAACUUCGCAAGAACAGGAAGAAUAAGUAAGGGUUAAUAUCUCUUACGAUGACGGUACUGUUUGUAAGCUCCGGCUAACUCCGUGCCAGCAGCCGCGGUAAUACGGGGGGAGCAAGCGUUGUUCGGAUUUACUGGGCGUAAAGGGCGCGUAGGCGGCCACCGCAAGUCGAUUGUGAAAUCUCCGGGCUUAACCCGGAAAGGUCAACCGAUACUGCGGGGCUAGAGUGCAGAAGGGGCAACUGGAAUUCUCGGUGUAGCGGUGAAAUGCGUAGAUAUCGAGAGGAACACCUGCGGCGAAGGCGGGUUGCUGGGCUGACAC
rnacentral:rRNA from 1 species